GGCUUCAGGUUGCCCACCACUGGUCUAUCUUCAAGUUCCACGCAUUGGAUUUUAUUAUACUUUUGUCUGCCAGACUGAAGAGCCCAUUAUCAACUUUCUGGUCCCCAUACAUGUACCUGUCGGACAAUCAAAGGAGUUGCUCCGUUCCUAUGGACCCCAAAUCAGAAUUCAACAUAUAUAUUUUAUACUAAUAACAUUUUAUCAAAGUAUUAAUUAAAUGUUAACUUGCUAACUUGAGGCCAUGGGCGGAGACAUUAUGUAACCUUUUAACCAUUGGCUAUUGUGCCAUCUUGUCUUGCUGCAAAACCUAUCCCGGGGUGUGGAACUGCCUACCCCGUCACCUUCCCCUGCCCAUGGAAAAUCUAUAUAUUUCAUUGUAAUCAAUUGCUUGACAGUGUCUCUGAGCCUGAUAAACCAGGUGACACUCCGCCAGCUCUGUGUGUAAUAAACCCCUAGGCUUUGACCUCUA